CUCCAUUAGCAUAGACGCGGUCGAGGCGAAAAUGGGGUUGACAAUGUUGACUGAUAGGUAAUUCACAGAUUUAACGCCAAUGGACCAGAAAAAGUCUACGCUGUUUAAACGGUCGCUUGUCAACCCGAAGACUCGGAUUCGAUUCUGAGGACCACGCGUGAAGCGGAAGUGUCGUUUCGUGUUUCUGUAUCAUAAAAGUUGACGAAUGGCUCGUCCAGGUUGAAAACUUAGCGUUAGUCUAAUAUCCCACCUGUGACAACCAAGUACUCUCCCCUCAAACGAACACAUGGACGCCAGGAGUGGUGGCUGUGGGUGGUUCCUGAGGGUGGCCACUCAUUGGGUAGAUUUUUAGAUAGACUUUCGCCUGAACAUUUCGAAAUUUGAUCAACAUGUUUAUACGACAGACAAUUUUAAAAAAAAAAUUAACAU